rnacentral:rRNA from 1 species
GUGGGGAAUAUUGGACAAUGGGGGGAACCCUGAUCCAGCCAUGCCGCGUGUGUGAAGAAGGCCUUUUGGUUGUAAAGCACUUUAAGCGAGGAGGAGGCUACCGAGAUUAAUACUCUUGGAUAGUGGACGUUACUCGCAGAAUAAGCACCGGCUAACUCUGUGCCAGCAGCCGCGGUAAUACAGAGGGUGCAAGCGUUAAUCGGAUUUACUGGGCGUAAAGCGCGCGUAGGUGGCCAAUUAAGUCAAAUGUGAAAUCCCCGAGCUUAACUUGGGAAUUGCAUUCGAUACUGGUUGGCUAGAGUAUGGGAGAGGAUGGUAGAAUUCCAGGUGUAGCAGUGAAAUGCGUAGAGAUCUGGAGGAAUACCGAUGGCGAAGGCAGCCAUCUGGCCUAAUACUGACACUGAGGUGCGAAAGCAUGGGGAGCAAACAGGAUUAGAUACCCCAGUAGUCC